rnacentral:rRNA from 1 species
UCGAGAGGCUUCGGCAAUGGGGGAAACCCUGACCGAGCGACGCCGCGUGGAGGAUGAAGGCCCUUGGGUUGUAAACUCCUUUUGUUCGGGAAGAAGUGCGAUCAGGUGAAUAAUCUGGUCGUUUGACGGUACCGGACGAAUAAGGUCCGGCUAACUACGUGCCAGCAGCCGCGGUAAUACGUAGGGACCAAGCGUUGUUCGGAUUUACUGGGCGUAAAGGGCGCGUAGGCGGCAAUUCAAGUCAUCUGUGAAAUCUCCGGGCUUAACUCGGAACGGUCAGAUGAUACUGCUUUGCUAGAGUGCAGAAGGGGCAAUCGGAAUUCUUGGUGUAGCGGUGAAAUGCGUAGAUAUCAAGAGGAACACCUGAGGUGAAGACGGGUUGCUGGGCUGACACUGACGCUGAGGCGCGAAAGCCAGGGGAGCAAACGGGAUUAGAUACCCCUGUAGUCCCUGAGCGGGCUGGCAAGGCGCAU